GAGGGCACACGCUCGUGGCCACGCUGGGGCUACGAGUUGGCCACGUCGCGUCGGGGUGCGCUGGUCGUGCCACACCGAGACGCAGGCCGCGAGCCACGCUGGGACGCGUUGGCGUGCCACGGGCCGAACUAACCGCGCUGGCUGCCGCGCACCACGCCAGGGUUGUUGGCCGCGUCGGGCAGCGGAGCAGAAGACGAGCCGCCGGGCUGAACAGCCGCGUCGGCGAGCCGCGGGUAGGUCGCGCCGUGCACAGCCGAGGGCGGAGAGCGGCUCGACCACGAGCGCCCGGGGUGCGGCUGUCGCGCACCAGGCGCCAGCGCCACAGCGAGCUCAGUGCUCAGCGCCUCCUGCUCCGCUGCUCGGCUGCUCCUGCCCAGCUGCCCUUCUCUCCUCUCCAGCGCAGCGCCUGCUCUCCAGCGCCCGUGCCGCGCCUCCUCUCCAACGGCCAGCGCCGCGCCGCUGCGCGCUCGCGGCCAGCCGCCGGCCAGGCCCAGGCCGCACCGCGGCAGGCGGCACUGCGAGGCACAGCACAGCCGCACAGGCGCCAGGCGCGCAACGCAGCGCGCUCGAGUCCGUAUGUCCGUAUCUUGACCGCCGUUGGGCUUGCAGGAGAGCCACGAUCUUGAGCUCCUUCCUUAUCUCUACAGUUUCUAUACCGACAAUUAGUGGUGUUUUUUGUAUUGUCUUUUGUGGGUCGGGAACCCUACAACCAAGAUUUGCCCUCUCUGCCACGGCGGCGGCGGUCAAGUCAAUUUGUAUGUACUAGUAUAUUUGUAUAAUUAUUAUCCAAAUCUUAGAUUAGGGGCACAAGCAAUUUCAAGGAAAAAAUACAUCUACCUAGAGGAGGAGAGGAGACGAUGUCGAAGUAAACAUUCAGCUGGUUUGGCCUGGCUGAUUAGGAAAAAAACAUCUACCCAAAACGGUAUGUGCAAGAUUAUUGUAUUUAUAAAAUUUGUAUCAACAUAUUUUUAGACUACAUAUUUCUUGAAUGUUUAAAUUAUAUCUUGCUUCUUGUGUCAUAUUAAACAUUAAUUAUAUUUUUUUUUGUUUAGUCUAAAUUUUUUGUUAUAGUCUUAACUUAGUAGCCCCUAUUUUGAAUCAAUCCUGGAUCCGCCACUACAGGGGAAUAUAGGGAAAGAGAGGGGCAUCUGGGCACACUUGCGACCGGUGGGC
rnacentral:lncRNA from 1 species